rnacentral:rRNA from 1 species
UAGGGAAUAUUGCGCAAUGGGGGAAACCCUGACGCAGCGACGCCGCGUGAGUGAUGAAGGCCUUCGGGUCGUAAAGCUCUGUCGUAUGGGACUAACAAAAUGAAGGUACCGUGCAAGAAAGGAUCGGCUAACUUCGUGCCAGCAGCCGCGGUAAGACGAGGGAUCCUAGCGUUGUUCGGCAUUAUUGGGCGUAAAGCGGGUGUAGGCGGACUUAUAAGUCAGGUGUGAAAUCCCAGGGCUCAACCCUGGAAGUGCACUUGAUACUGUAAGUCUUGAAUGUGGUAGAGGUUAAUGGAAUUGCUGGUGGAGUGGUGAAGUACGUAGAUAUCAGCAGGAACACCGGAGGCGAAGGCGGGUAACUGGGCCAACAUGGACGGUGAGAUCCGAAAGCGUAGGGAUCAAAC